UACGUAGGGGGCGAGCGUUGUCCGGAUUUAUUGGGCGUAAAGAGCGUGUAGGCGGCCAGGUAGGUCUGCUGUGAAAACUCGAGGCUCAACCUCGAGACGUCGGCGGAAACCAUCUGGCUAGAGUCCGGAAGAGGAGAGUGGAAUUCCUGGUGUAGCGGUGAAAUGCGCAGAUAUCAGGAAGAACGCCCGUGGCGAAGGCGGCUCUCUGGGACGGUACUGACGCUGAGACGCGAAAGCGUGGGGAGCGAACAGG
rnacentral:rRNA from 1 species